ensembl:snRNA U6 U6 spliceosomal RNA
GUACUCACACACAUUGGCAGUAUAUAUACUAACCCUGGAAUGAUACAGAGAAGAUUAGCAUGGCCCUUACACAAGGGUGACAUAGAAAUUCACAAAGUGUUCUAUACUAAA